GCAAGGUGGGAGGGAAAGAAGUGUUCCAGGGACCCCCAUGUAACACUGCCCUGGCUGAAUGCCCAGCGGCUGGCUGGCUGGCUGGGCUGAGGAUCCAGGUGGCCAUCCUUCCACAGGUGGGAGCAGCCGCAGGUUGAGUGGCCUUGGUGUUCAGGGUUGGGGAGCACUAAUGAGGGGCAGGGGAAGAGAGAGAAGGGGGGCCACUGGACAAAACCAAAGACUCUGAAUGUGGUGGGCAGUGGCCUGAGCCAUGGAGUGGAGACACUUGUCCCUGGGACUCCUCCCAAAGCUGCCCCAGCUGGACAAAGGUGGUGUCCCUCCUCCUGGAGCCCCAGGGAAUUUGCAUUGGGCCUUGAACGGGGUCUCAUGGCUGUGCCCUUUGCUGCACCUGGCCAGAUGCAGAGUGCCUGUGGAAUGCCACUCCAGCGAUGGCUUAGAUGCCAAAGAAAAACCACCUGUGAUUGAUUCCAAGCUGCACAGACAGCCCUGAGAACAGUGUGCAAGUCCUGCAAGCAUUACCUGCAAGCAUCACCGAGGGAGCCUUCUCUACCCUACAUGCCCCCUCCCAGCCUGAGAGAAGACCCCUCGGCUCCAUGUUAGCAGCAGGCCUGGGUGCAGCUCCCACAGGGAGCUUGAGGGCCCAGGGCCUCUCUCCCCAGGGGGUCAGGAAGGUCCUAGUAGGAAGACUUCUAGGCCAUUGAACUGUAAAGAGUUAAUGCACAUAAUACAAAAAAUAAAAUGUGUGUGCUUGACUGUUA